AUUGAACGCUGGCGGAAUGCUUUACACAUGCAAGUCGAACGGCAGCACGGACUUCGGUCUGGUGGCGAGUGGCGAACGGGUGAGUAAUGUAUCGGAACGUGCCCAGUCGUGGGGGAUAACGUAGUGAAAAUUACGCUAAUACCGCAUACGAUCUAUGGAUGAAAGCGGGGGAUCGCAAGACCUCGCGCGAUUGGAGCGGCCGAUAUCAGGUUAGGUAGUUGGUGGGGUAAAGGCCCACCAAGCCAACGAUCUGUAGCUGGUCUGAGAGGACGACCAGCCACACUGGAAGUGUGACACGGUCCAGACUCCUACGGGAGGCAGCAGUGGGGAAUUUUGGAAAAUGGGCGAAAGCCUGAUCCAGCCAUUCCGCGUGCAGGAUGAAGGCCCUCGGGUUGUAAACUGCUUUUGUACAGAACGAAAAGGUUUCUACUAAUACUAGGAGCUCAUGACGGUACUGUAAGAAUAAGCACCGGCUAACUACGUGCCAGCCGCCGCCGUAA
rnacentral:rRNA from 1 species